rnacentral:tRNA from 1 species
GGGGAAAUAGCUCAAUGGUAGAGUGCAUGCCUAGCACGCACGAGGUCCUGGGUUCAAUCCCCAGUCCCUCCA